UGAGGAAUAUUGGUCAAUGGGCGAGAGCCUGAACCAGCCAAGUAGCGUGAAGGAUGACUGCCCUAUGGGUUGUAAACUUCUUUUAUAAAGGAAUAAAGUCGGGUAUGGAUACCCGUUUGCAUGUACUUUAUGAAUAAGGAUCGGCUAACUCCGUGCCAGCAGCCGCGGUAAUACGGAGGAUCCGAGCGUUAUCCGGAUUUAUUGGGUUUAAAGGGAGCGUAGGUGGAUUGUUAAGUCAGUUGUGAAAGUUUGCGGCUCAACCGUAAAAUUGCAGUUGAAACUGGCAGUCUUGAGUACAGUAGAGGUGGGCGGAAUUCGUGGUGUAGCGGUGAAAUGCUUAGAUAUCACGAAGAACUCCGAUUGCGAAGGCAGCUCACUAGACUGCAACUGACACUGAUGCUCGAAAGUGUGGGUAUCAAACAGGAUUAGAUACCCUGGUAGUCCACACAGUAAACGAUGAAUACUCGCUGUUUGCGAUAUACAGUAAGCGGCCAAGCGAAAGCAUUAAGUAUUCCACCUGGGGAGUACGCCGGCAACGGUGAAACUCAAAGGAAUUGACGGGGGCCCGCACAAGCGGAGGAACAUGUGGUUUAAUUCGAUGAUACGCGAGGAACCUUACCCGGGCUUAAAUUGCAUUUGAAUAAUCUGGAAACAGGUUAGCCGCAAGGCAAAUGUGAAGGUGCUGCAUGGUUGUCGUCAGCUCGUGCCGUGAGGUGUCGGCUUAAGUGCCAUAACGAGCGCAACCCUUAUCUUUAGUUACUAACAGGUCAUGCUGAGGACUCUAGAGAGACUGCCGUCGUAAGAUGUGAGGAAGGUGGGGAUGACGUCAAAUCAGCACGGCCCUUACGUCCGGGGCUACACACGUGUUACAAUGGGGGGUACAGAAGGCAGCUACCUGGCGACAGGAUGCUAAUCCCAAAAACCUCUCUCAGUUCGGAUCGAAGUCUGCAACCCGACUUCGUGAAGCUGGAUUCGCUAGUAAUCGCGCAUCAGCCAUGGCGCGGUGAAUACGUUCCC
rnacentral:rRNA from 1 species